UACGUAGGGUGCGAGCGUUAAUCGGAAUUACUGGGCGUAAAGCGUGCGCAGGCGGUUUUGUAAGCCAGAUGUGAAAUCCCCGGGCUUAACCUGGGAAUGGCAUUUGGGACUGCAAGGCUUGAGUGCGGCAGAGGAGACUGGAAUUCUUGGUGUAGCAGUGAAAUGCGUAGAUAUCAGGAGGAACACCGAUGGCGAAGGCAGGUCUCUGGGCUGACACUGACGCUCAUGCACGAAAGCGUGGGGAGCAAACAGG
rnacentral:rRNA from 1 species